GGGUUGUGAGGUUAAGCGACUAAGCGUACACGGUGGAUGCCCUGGCAGUCAGAGGCGAUGAAGGACGUGCUAAUCUGCGAAAAGCGUCGGUAAGGUGAUAUGAACCGUUACAGCCGGCGAUGUCCGAAUGGGGAAACCCAGUGUGAUUCGUCACACUAUCGUUAACUGAAUACAUAGGUUAACGAGGCGAACCGGGGGAACUGAAACAUCUAAGUACCCCGAGGAAAAGAAAUCAACCGAGAUUCCCCCAGUAGCGGCGAGCGAACGGGGAGCAGCCCAGAGUCUGAAUCAGCUUGUGUGUUAGUGGAACGGUCUGGAAAGUCCGACGGUACAGGGUGAUAGUCCCGUACACCAAAAUGCACAGGCUGUGAACUCGAAGAGUAGGGCGGGACACGUGGUAUCCUGUCUGAAUAUGGGGGGACCAUCCUCCAAGGCUAAAUACUCCUGACUGACCGAUAGUGAACCAGUACCGUGAGGGAAAGGCGAAAAGAACCCCGGCGAGGGGAGUGAAAAAGAACCUGAAACCGUGUACGUACAAGCAGUGGGAGCACCUUCGGGUGUGACUGCGUACCUUUUGUAUAAUGGGUCAGCGACUUAUAUUCUGUAGCAAGGUUAACCGUAUAGGGGAGCCGCAGGGAAACCGAGUCUUAACUGGGCGUUAAGUUGCAGGGUAUAGACCCGAAACCCGGUGAUCUAGCCAUGGGCAGGUUGAAGGUUGGGUAACACUAACUGGAGGACCGAACCGACUAAUGUUGAAAAAUUAGCGGAUGACUUGUGGCUGGGGGUGAAAGGCCAAUCAAACCGGGAGAUAGCUGGUUCUCCCCGAAAGCUAUUUAGGUAGCGCCUCGUGAAUUCAUCUUCGGGGGUAGAGCACUGUUUCGGCUAGGGGGUCAUCCCGACUUACCAACCCGAUGCAAACUACGAAUACCGAAGAAUGUUAUCACGGGAGACACACGGCGGGUGCUAACGUCCGUCGUGAAGAGGGAAACAACCCAGACCGCCAGCUAAGGUCCCAAAGUCAUGGUUAAGUGGGAAACGAUGUGGGAAGGCACAGACAGCCAGGAUGUUGGCUUAGAAGCAGCCAUCAUUUAAAGAAAGCGUAAUAGCUCACUGGUCGAGUCGGCCUGCGCGGAAGAUGUAACGGGGCUAAACCAUGCACCGAAGCUGCGGCAGCGACACUAUGUGUUGUUGGGUAGGGGAGCGUUCUGUAAGCCUGCGAAGGUGACCUGUGAGGGUUGCUGGAGGUAUCAGAAGUGCGAAUGCUGACAUAAGUAACGAUAAAGCGGGUGAAAAGCCCGCUCGCCGGAAGACCAAGGGUUCCUGUCCAACGUUAAUCGGGGCAGGGUGAGUCGACCCCUAAGGCGAGGCCGAAAGGCGUAGUCGAUGGGAAACAGGUUAAUAUUCCUGUACUUGGUGUUACUGCGAAGGGGGGACGGAGAAGGCUAUGUUAGCCGGGCGACGGUUGUCCCGGUUUAAGCAUGUAGGCUGGUUGUCCAGGCAAAUCCGGAUAAUCAAGGCUGAGGUGUGAUGACGAGGCACUACGGUGCUGAAGUAACAAAUGCCCUGCUUCCAGGAAAAGCCUCUAAGCAUCAGGUAACAUUAAAUCGUACCCCAAACCGACACAGGUGGUCAGGUAGAGAAUACCAAGGCGCUUGAGAGAACUCGGGUGAAGGAACUAGGCAAAAUGGUGCCGUAACUUCGGGAGAAGGCACGCUGGUGUGUAGGUGAAGUCCCUGCGGAUGGAGCUGAGACCAGUCGAAGAUACCAGCUGGCUGCAACUGUUUAUUAAAAACACAGCACUGUGCAAACACGAAAGUGGACGUAUACGGUGUGACGCCUGCCCGGUGCCGGAAGGUUAAUUGAUGGGGUUAUCCGUAAGGAGAAGCUCUUGAUCGAAGCCCCGGUAAACGGCGGCCGUAACUAUAACGGUCCUAAGGUAGCGAAAUUCCUUGUCGGGUAAGUUCCGACCUGCACGAAUGGCGUAAUGAUGGCCAGGCUGUCUCCACCCGAGACUCAGUGAAAUUGAACUCGCUGUGAAGAUGCAGUGUACCCGCGGCAAGACGGAAAGACCCCGUGAACCUUUACUAUAGCUUGACACUGAACAUUGAGCCUUGAUGUGUAGGAUAGGUGGGAGGCUUUGAAGCGUGGACGCCAGUCUGCGUGGAGCCAACCUUGAAAUACCACCCUUUAAUGUUUGAUGUUCUAACGUUGGCCCCUUACCGGGGUUGCGGACAGUGUCUGGUGGGUAGUUUGACUGGGGCGGUCUCCUCCCAAAGCGUAACGGAGGAGCACGAAGGUUAGCUAAUCCUGGUCGGACAUCAGGAGGUUAGUGCAAUGGCAUAAGCUAGCUUGACUGCGAGCGUGACGGCGCGAGCAGGUGCGAAAGCAGGUCAUAGUGAUCCGGUGGUUCUGAAUGGAAGGGCCAUCGCUCAACGGAUAAAAGGUACUCCGGGGAUAACAGGCUGAUACCGCCCAAGAGUUCAUAUCGACGGCGGUGUUUGGCACCUCGAUGUCGGCUCAUCACAUCCUGGGGCUGAAGUAGGUCCCAAGGGUAUGGCUGUUCGCCAUUUAAAGUGGUACGCGAGCUGGGUUUAGAACGUCGUGAGACAGUUCGGUCCCUAUCUGCCGUGGGCGCUGGAGAAUUGAGGGGGGCUGCUCCUAGUACGAGAGGACCGGAGUGGACGCAUCACUGGUGUUCGGGUUGUCAUGCCAAUGGCACUGCCCGGUAGCUAAAUGCGGAAGAGAUAAGUGCUGAAAGCAUCUAAGCACGAAACUUGCCCCGAGAUGAGUUCUCCCUGAGACUUUAAGUCUCCUGAAGGAACGUUAAAGACGAUGACGUUGAUAGGCCGGGUGUGUAAGCGCAGCGAUGCGUUGAGCUAACCGGUACUAAUGAACCGUGAGGCUUAACCUUACAACGCCGAAG
rnacentral:rRNA from 2 species